rnacentral:rRNA from 1 species
GAUGAACGCUGGCGGCGUGCCUAAUACAUGCAAGUCGAGCGAACAGACGAGGAGCUUGCUCCUCUGACGUUAGCGGCGGACGGGUGAGUAACACGUGGAUAACCUACCUAUAAGACUGGGAUAACUUCGGGAAACCGGAGCUAAUACCGGAUAAUAUAUUGAACCGCAUGGUUCAAUAGUGAAAGACGGUUUUGCUGUCACUUAUAGAUGGAUCCGCGCCGCAUUAGCUAGUUGGUAAGGUAACGGCUUACCAAGGCAACGAUGCGUAGCCGACCUGAGAGGGUGGUCGGCCACACUGGAACUGAGACACGGACCAGGCUCCUACGGUAGGCAGCAGUAGGGAAUCGUACGCAAUGGGCGAAAGCCUGACGGAGCAACGGCGCGUGAGUGAUGAAGGUCUUCGGAUCGGAAAGCUCUGUUAUUAGGGAAGAACAAAUGUGUAAGUAACUGUGCCCGUAUUGACGGUACCUAAUCAGAAAGCCACGGCUAACUACGUG